rnacentral:rRNA from 1 species
UGGGGAAUAUUGGACAAUGGGGGCAACCCUGAUCCAGCCAUGCCGCGUGGGUGAAGAAGGCCUUCGGGUUGUAAAGCCCUUUCGCCGGCGAAGAUAAUGACGGUAGCCGGUAAAGAAGCCCCGGCUAACUCCGUGCCAGCAGCCGCGGUAAUACGGAGGGGGCUAGCGUUGUUCGGAAUUACUGGGCGUAAAGCGCGCGUAGGCGGCCGAUCAAGUUGGGCGUGAAAGCCCGGGGCUCAACCCCGGAACCGCGCCCGAAACUGGUUGGCUGGAGUCCGGGAGAGGGUGGUGGAAUUCCCAGUGUAGAGGUGAAAUUCGUAGAUAUUGGGAAGAACACCGGUGGCGAAGGCGGCCACCUGGCCCGGCACUGACGCUGAGGCGCGAAAGCGUGGGGAGCAAACAGG